UAUGGCAUAUCAAAUCGCCAUUUUUAAAAUUCUCUAAUUUUUGAUACUAAUCGGUGCCUAUAUUUGUUUUAUUUCAAGUUUUAAUUAAUUAAUAGUGCAAUUUAUUUGUUUUUAUUCUCUAUUGUUACAAAGUGACAAUGAUAAAUAAGAGUGGAAUAGUGUUCAUUUUGAGGAUAUUGAAGAAGCAAGUCGCCUAUUGCGUUCCGCUUUUAUCUUUUUAUCUUGGACCUAGACUAGGUUGAUCUUGGAGGAUCUUGUAGUUAAUUAAAGUAAGGAUUUUACAUAAACUCCAGGUGGCAUACACUGCGAUUCUAAAAGUGCCUUUUUUCCACUACAAAGGCAUUACUUGUUCAUUUGUGGAAAUGAAUUGUCAACAUCAAUGGUACAGUACCUAGAAGUUAACAGAGUUCCAGAGUUCAAAGAGUAAAAACUUUAGAUGCCUUGUAUUAUGAAACAUUGGGUGUGUGAGUCCUCUUUCACCCCACUGAAGUCCUAAGGAAAGCGUGAAGGUGCCUUUUUUGCAUUGGUAACGGAUGCAGUGUUUUAUUGCUAAAGAAAGGAUUUACGAAAUUAUGAAAUGAAUUGAUUGGUCAACAAAUGAGGGGGAUUGGAAAGUUAAUUUUGACCUUAACGAUAACGACUUGGGAUAUCUGCACUGGUA